rnacentral:rRNA from 1 species
GACGAACGCUGGCGGCGUGCUUAACACAUGCAAGUCGAACGGUGAAGCUCCAGCUUGCUGGAGUGGAUCAGUGGCGAACGGGUGAGUAACACGUGAGCAACCUGCCCCUGACUCUGGAAUAAGCGCUGGAAACGGCGUCUAAUACUGGAUACGAGAAGGGUCCGCAUGGGCACUUUCUGGAAAGUUUUUCGGUUGGGGAUGGGCUCGCGGCCUAUCAGCUUGUUGGUGAGGUAAUGGCUCACCAAGGCGACGACGGGUAGCCGGCCUGAGAGGGCGACCGGCCACACUGGGACUGAGACACGGCCCAGACUCCUACGGGAGGCAGCAGUGGGGAAUAUUGCACAAUGGGCGAAAGCCUGAUGCAGCGACGCCGCGUGAGGGAUGACGGCCUUCGGGUUGUAAACCUCUUUCAGCAGGGAAGAAGCGAAAGUGACGGUACCUGCAAAAGAAGCACCGGCUAACUACGUG